AGCGAACGCUGGCGGCAGGCUUAACACAUGCAAGUCGAGCGCCCCGCAAGGGGAGCGGCAGACGGGAGAGUAACACGUGGGAACGUGCCUUUUGGUUCGGAACAACCCAGGGAAACUUGGGCUAAUACCGGAUAAGCCCUUACGGGGAAAGAUUUAUCGCCAAAAGAUCGGCCCGCGUCUGAUUAGCUAGUUGGUGAGGUAAUGGCUCACCAAGGCUACGAUCAGUAGCUGGUCUGAGAGGAUGAUCAGCCUCACUGGGACUGAGACACGGCCCAGACUCCUACGGGAGGCAGCAGUGGGGAAUAUUGGACAAUGGGCGCAAGCCUGAUCCAGCCAUGCCGCGUGGAUGAUGAAGGCCUUAGGGUUGUAAAGUCCUUUUAACGGGGAAGAUAAUGACGGUACCCGUAGAAUAAGCCCCGGCUAACUUCGUGCCAGCCGCCGCAGUAACAC
rnacentral:rRNA from 1 species